GCGAAUUCGCCCUUCGGGGUGCACAGGCGCGAAACCUCUGCAAUGCGCGAAAGCGUGACAGGGGAAGUCUGAGUGGCGGAAACUUAGUUUCCGUCUUUUGCCAAGUGUAAACGGCUUGGAAAAUAAGGGUGUGGGCAAUACUGGUGGCAGCCGCCGCGGUAACACCAGCGCCUCGGGUGGUACCCACGAAUAUUGGGCCUAAAGCGUCCGUAGCUGGACCUCUAAGUCCGCUGUGAAAUGUUGGAGCUCAACUCUAACGCGUGCAAUGCAUACUGUUGGUCUUGGGAACGGGGGAGGGUCGGGGUACUUCCAGGGUAGGGGUAAAAUCCGUUGAUCCUGAAAGGACCACCAGUGGCGAAGGCGCCAAUCCAAAACGUGUCCGACGGUGAGGGACCAAAGCUGGGGGAGCGAACGGGAUUACAUACCCCGGUAGUCCCAGCUGUAAAUGAUGCGGACUGUGGUGUUACACAUGAGUAAUCAUGUGUAGUGCUGUAGCGUAGGUGUUAAGUCUGCCGCCUGGGGAGUACGAUCGCAAGAUUUAAACUUAAAGGAAUUGGCGGGGGAGCAC
rnacentral:rRNA from 1 species